GACGAACGCUGGCGGCGUGCUUAACACAUGCAAGUCGAACGGAAAGGCCCUGCUUGCAGGGUACUCGAGUGGCGAACGGGUGAGUAACACGUGGGUGAUCUGCCCUGCACUUCGGGAUAAGCCUGGGAAACUGGGUCUAAUACCGGAUAGGAGCCAUUUUUAGUGUGAUGGUUGGAAAGUUUUUUCGGUGUAGGAUGAGCUCGCGGCCUAUCAGCUUGUUGGUGGGGUAAUGGCCUACCAAGGCGGCGACGGGUAGCCGGCCUGAGAGGGUGGACGGCCACAUUGGGACUGAGAUGCGGCACAGACUCCUACGGGAGGCAGCAGUGGGGAAUAUUGAACAAUGGGCGCAAGCCUGAUGCAGCGACGCCGCGUGGGGGAUGACGGCCUUCGGGUUGUAAACUCCUUUCGCUAGGGACGAAGCUUUUUGUGACGGUACCUAGAUAAGAAGCACCGGCUAACUACGUG
rnacentral:rRNA from 1 species